CCUACGGGUGGCAGCAGUGAGGAAUAUUGGUCAAUGGACGAGAGUCUGAACCAGCCAAGUAGCGUGAAGGAUGACUGCCCUAUGGGUUGUAAACUUCUUUUAUAUGGGAAUAAAAUGUUCCACGUGUGGGAUUUUGUAUGUCCCAUAUGAAUAAGGAUCGGCUAACUCCGUGCCAGCAGCCGCGGUAAUACGGAGGAUCCGAGCGUUAUCCGGAUUUAUUGGGUUUAAAGGGAGCGUAGGUGGAUUGUUAAGUCAGUUGUGAAAGUUUGCGGCUCAACCGUAAAAUUGCAGUUGAAACUGGCAGUCUUGAGUACAGUAGAGGUGGGCGGAAUGCGUGGUGUAGCGGUGAAAUGCUUAGAUAUCACGAAGAACUCCGAUUGCGAAGGCAGUUCACUGGACUGCAACUGACACUGAGGCUCGAAAGUGUGGGUAUCAAACAGGAUUAGAUACCCUAGUAGUC
rnacentral:rRNA from 1 species